rnacentral:lncRNA from 1 species
AUGGUGUGUGUUGUGGGGUGUGAUUGCUCUGUCAGCCCUCCCUGCACUUUACUCCGCUCUCACAUAACUGGUGGAAGGGGCCUACAGGUUUUUUUUCCCCAACCUCACCCUCACUGUGUUUUGCCUUCACAGACCCUCAUUCUCUUUCCAAUAAUGUCCCCAUCGAUCCUCGGCCCAGAGAUGGUCAGCCACGGUGUGAGGUUCAAGGAGAAGUUGAUCAAAAGGUCUUUGUCUCCUGUGAUUUUGGUAAAGGCCCUCUCACCCUGCAGGCCAGGAUGA